rnacentral:tRNA from 1 species
CCUGCCGUAAUCUAAUGGUAAGAUGACGCUCUGUGAAUGCGUAUAUCACGGUUCAACUCCGUGCGGUGGGGCCA